rnacentral:rRNA from 1 species
AUUGAACGCUGGCGGCAUGCCUUACACAUGCAAAUCGAACGGUAACGGGCCUUCGGGUGCCGACGAGUGGCGGACGGGUGAGUAAUACAUCGGAACGUGCCCGAUCGUGGGGGAUAACGAGGCGAAAGCUUUGCUAAUACCGCAUACGAUCUACGGAUGAAAGCAGGGGACCGCAAGGCCUUGCGCGGACGGAGCGGCCGAUGGCAGAUGAGGUAGUUGGUGGGAUAAAAGCUUACCAAGCCGACGAUCUGUAGCUGGUCUGAGAGGAUGAUCAGCCACACUGGGACUGAGACACGGCCCAGACUCCUACGGGAGGCAGCAGUGGGGAAUUUUGGACAAUGGGCGCAAGCCUGAUCCAGCCAUGCCGCGUGCAGGAUGAAGGCCUUCGGGUUGUAAACUGAUUUUGUACGGAACGAAAAGCCUUCUUUUAAUACAGGAGGGUCAUGACGGUACCGUAAGAAUAAGCACCGGCUAACUACGUG